rnacentral:rRNA from 1 species
UGGGGAAUUUUGCUCAAUGGGGGAAACCCUGAUGCAGCGACGCCGCGUGAUUUAGAAGGCCUUCGGGUUGUAAAAAUCUUUUGUAUGGGAAGAAAAUGACAGUACCAUACGAAUAAGGACCGGCUAAUUACGUGCCAGCAGCCGCGGUAAUACGUAAGGUCCGAGCGUUGUCCGGAAUCAUUGGGCGUAAAGGGUACGUAGGCGGAUAAGCAAGUUAGAAGUGAAAUCCUAUAGCUCAACUAUAGUAAGCUUUUAAAACUGCUCAUCUUGAGGUAUGGAAGGGAAAGUGGAAUUCCUAGUGUAGCGGUGAAAUGCGCAGAUAUUAGGAGGAAUACCGGUGGCGAAGGCGACUUUCUGGCCAUAUACUGACGCUGAGGUACGAAAGCGUGGGUAGCAAACAGG